rnacentral:tRNA from 1 species
GGGCGAUUAGCUCAGCUGGUUCAGAGCGCACGCCUCACACGCGUGAGGUCACUGGUUCGAAUCCAGUAUCGCCCA